rfam:Idiomarina baltica OS145 scf_1099451322322 genomic scaffold, whole genome shotgun sequence.
GAAGCCUGCCAGACAAUCGCUGCUUAUCGUUUUCGGUAAGGGGAGGAAAGUCCGGGCUCCAUAGGGCAGAGUGCCAGGUAACGCCUGGGCAGUGAAAGCUGACGACUAGUGCAACAGAGAGCAAACCGCCGAUGGCCGCUUGCGGCUCAGGUAAGGGUGAAAGGGUGCGGUAAGAGCGCACCGCGCGUCUGGUAACAGCACGUGGCACGGUAAACUCCACUCGGAGCAAGGUCAAAUAGGGGUUCGUUGGCGCGGCCCGCGUUGAACCCGGGUAGACUGCUUGAGAAUACGGGCAACCGUAUUACUAGAUGAAUGAUUGUCCACGACAAAACCCGGCUUAUCGGCGGGCUUCUUCA